rnacentral:rRNA from 1 species
AGUCUGGUGUCAGCCGCCGCGGUAAUACCAGCUCCUCGAGUGGUCGGGACGAUUAUUGGGCCUAAAGCAUCCGUAGCCGGUUUCGUAGGUCUCCUGUUAAAUUCAACCGCUUAACGGUUGGGCCGCAGGAGAUACCGCGAGACUAGGAGGCGAGAGAGGCGGACGGUACUCCGCAGGUAGGGGUAAAAUCCUUUGAUCUGCGGAAGACCACCAGUGGCGAAGGCGGUCCGCCAGAACGCGCUCGACGGUGAGGGAUGAAAGCUGGGGGAGCGAAGCGGAUUAGAUACCCGGGUAGUCCCAGCCGUAAACGAUGCGAGCUAGAUGAUCCGAUCGCAGUUCGCGAUCGGAGUGUCGCAGGGAAGCCGUUAAGCUCGCCGCCUGGGGAGUACGGUCGCAAGGCUGAAACUUGAAGGAAU